rnacentral:rRNA from 1 species
UCAUAUCAAUAAGCGGAGGAAAAGAAACCAACAGGGAUUGCCCUAGUAACGGCGAGUGAAGCGGCAACAGCUCAAAUUUGAAAUCUGGCUCUUUUAGGGUCCGAGUUGUAAUUUGCAGAGGGCGCUUUGGCGUUGGCAGCGGUCCAAGUUCCUUGGAACAGGACGUCACAGAGGGUGAGAAUCCCGUACGUGGUCGCUGGCCUUCGCCGUGUAAAGCCUCUUCGACGAGUCGAGUUGUUUGGGAAUGCAGCUCUAAAUGGGAGGUAAAUUUCUUCUAAAGCUAAAUACUGGCCAGAGACCGAUAGCGCACAAGUAGAGUGAUCGAAAGAGAUGAAAAGCACUUUGGAAAGAGAGUCAAAUAGCACGUGAAAUUGUUAAAAGGGAAGCGCUUGCAGCCAGACUUGCCCGUAGUUGCUCAUCCAGGCUUUUGCCUGGUGCAUUCUUCUAUGGGCAGGCCAGCAUCAGUUUGGGCGGUUGGAUAAAGGUCUCUGUCAUGUACCUCCUUUCGGGGAGGCCUUAUAGGGGAGACGACAUGCAACCAGCCUGGACUGAGGUCCGCGCAUUCGCUAGGAUGCUGGCGUAAUGGCUGUAAGCGGCCCGUCUUGAAACACGGACCAAGGAGUCUAACAUCUAUGCGAGUGUUUGGGUGUCAAGCCCGAACGCGCAAUGAAAGUGAACGGAGGUGGGAACCCUUAAGGGUGCACCAUCGACCGAUCCUGAUGUCUUCGGAAGGAUUUGAGUAAGAGCAUAGCUGUUGGGACCCGAAAGAUGGUGAACUAUGCUUGAAUAGGGUGAAGCCAGAGGAAACUCUGGUGGAGGCUCGCAGCGGUUCUGACGUGCAAAUCGAUCGUCAAAUUUGGGCAUAGGGGCGAAAGACUAAUCGAACUAUCUAGUAGCUGGUU